GCUUAAUCCGGUACCCCCGAAAAUGGCAUCGUAGAAGAUUCUGGAGAUUCCGUCUCUCUCCGUAACAUAGACGAGUUCCAAAUCCGGCUUUAAGGACUGUGAUUGGUUUGUUAAAAGAGAUAUAAGCGAAGGAGAUGACGAGGGGGAAGGGAAAUAGCCAUUGAAAUUGACGGAUUGGCCGUCAGUGAUUUGGGUUUUAUCCGCUGCGGAAGGGUAACUGUUGCCAUCAGCCGGGAGGGUGAAGAUAUCAAAGGCGUAGAAGGACCUGCCGAGGGUGGUGAAGACUAUGCUGUUGCCAUUGAGAACAUCUCCGCCUGUAACCGCCGCAGACGAUGGCGGAAGGAGAGAAGAAAACUGGAGAAGGCAACAAAGGAGAAGCAGAGGCAUACCGAUAGUGAAGACGGU
rnacentral:misc_RNA from 1 species